GUCAAGUAGUGUUUGUUUGGUGACAGGAUGCUGUUUUUUCCUUCCAAGUAUAAUGCUCCUUUUAUGUAGUGAUGAUACUACAUCUAUUUCAUUUUAUGUUUAUGCCUCUUCCAGAAAAUGUGCUGCACCUACAGUAAUCAAUCUAAGUUAUCCAUUUUAUUUUAUAGGCCUUCGAGUACAAGAGGCUGCUGCUUGACUAUAACAGCAAAAAUGUGCAAUAUUGGAUUAAUGAUUGAAGUGCAUUAGCGGUUUAUCUUCUUCUUCACAAGUCUGUUUGCAAUGGAUGUACAUAACUGUCAUUUUUACCUCUUGCUAUUUAACAUACAUGACAAUAGCUGUAGGUAUUGAAAUAUAUGUGAAGGUAGAAGCUAUCGUUGCUGCCUUGUGGGUCGUAAUUCUUUCUCUCUAGACGCGUAUACUGUGUGAUGUAUUGCUCAUGCUCAUAUUCUGUACCAAGAUAGUCCUAAUAUCCGUAGGGUUGUAGACUGAUUUCCCCUUGAAAAAGCUAUGCUUCUUUCUUUGGAUGAUAAGCAUGUUCGGCAGCUAUGUGGAAUCCUUAAGAUAAAUGGUCUUUAGUUUCUUUUGGUGCAUCUGCGUGCACAUAACAGUUUGUUAGUUUCACUUUAUAUAAUGAAGAAAAUAUGCUGCUGUCAUUUGUUUAUUAUUAUCUAUCAUCUGUAGAUUGAUUUUUAGGCCAUCAAUACUUGUAUGUAUGAUUUCUAGUCUUGAAUGAAUUAUUUUUCUUUAGGUGACAUGCGUCUUGUGUUACUACAUACAUCUAUCGUGAAGUACAUGGUUCCAGAACUAUGGUAACCCGCAGUUUGCUCUACUGGUGAUAGUAGGAUGAUGGAAACAUCACUACUAAAUGUAGUCCCUGUUUCUUCAACUAAUCAUCAUGUACUAGAGUUUCUCUUCUUCUUGCUACUGUUUGGUUUUUGACGUCACUAGCUUGUACUAAAACGUGCAGACUUUACCCCUUGCUAG
rnacentral:lncRNA from 1 species